GCCUCUUGGAAGUCAAUGCCAAGUGUAGCAUCCCGAGAAGAGAAAACACUAGCCAGGCACCAAAGACAUUUCUUUUCCUUUUAUCCCAGUGACUCAGAUCCGUGAGCCCCACUGAUAUUUGUUUUGACUUCUUGGUUCUGCAGCCUGGGGCGGCUCUUGUGCCAUGGGGUGACAGGUCUUUUAAUGGACAAAUUAGCAGUCUUCUUGGUCACCUGUUAGGCCAGGCAGUCUUGAGCCACCCACAGGAAACUGGAUCAUGGGUUCCCCUCGCACCCAAGGUAUUACCAGAACUUGAUCCUGCUUUGAUAAAAAUCUCAGAAGCAUCUGAGUCCGCAUCUCUCUGUCCAUUUUCACAGUAAGGAAAGUAUAACAUGCAUCCCGAAUGGAGCCACUCGAUAGCAGUGUGCCAGCAACUCUGCUGGAGGAAAUCAGGAAUGAAAACGAGUUUUUGUGAUUUCUUUUGCACGUGUAUGUUCACUCACACGCCUUUUCUCCCCUCUGGGUCUUGAUGAUCCAAAAGGAGCUUUCAGAACAGAUGGACAGAUGCUUUGCCUCCUCACAAGCCUCUUAUUUGGAGAUGUUCCCUUGCAUCUUCUUUUUCAACCAGGAGCUGACUUCAGAGUCUACCUGCAAAGUGGCCUGUGUCGAUCUAAAUGCUUGAAACUCAUUCCCCAAAGAAAUAAGCCCCUGACAUCUAACAAGUCACGCCAAUCACCCACGCAGUGCUGUCCUUCUAACAUGGAUUUCUGGGUACACCGUGAGUCCCUCCCGUUGCUUUCCCUCCGACCUGCCAGCCACCUGUCCUGGUGCCUGGUCACACACAGUACAUUGUUGAAGAUAAUAUGAAUCUAGUCCUUGCACUUUUCUCCUUCCCAUCAGCUCAUCACCACCCAGAGUUACGCAUCUACUUGGCUCUAGGUUGUUCGUGGGCUUCUGUGAGAGAAAUAGCCCAGAAGAAUGCUUCCAAGUGACAGAAAGUUCUAGAUGCACUUAGUGUUUCUCAAGUCUCAGCUGCUUCUUCAUUUGUAAAUGGGAUAAUCCCCACUUAUGAUGCUAUCCGAGAGCUGGAGGUAGCACAUGAGACUGAGCUCAUAACACAGGCGCUGGGAACUAGCGGCCGUGCUUACCGUUGUCAUUGUCAUGCAUAGUUUCUUGUUCUCUGUUUUAAGCUGUGGCCCAAGCAUCUUUGAACAAGCAAAAGGUCCAAGCACUGCUCUAUUUUAUCUCAAGCCAGUGAUGCAUGGAGGAGAACGAGGUACAAAGGUGGGGGACCAUUCCCUGGUGGAGAAAAAGCAAGAGAAGUACAGCUGCUCCCCUUCCUCUUUCAACAGGCUGACUCAUGAGUACGUGUAUGUAUGUGUGUGUGUACAUAUGACAUAUAUGUAAAAUAUGUGUGUCAUGUGGAGUCCAAAAUCCUUUCUCACUCCACCACUCCUCCCCCUCUUGCUUCACCUUUCUUCGUUUUCUGCUCUGGUUCCCCAGCUGUUACAGCUGCAAGUCACAUGCCACUCCCUAGGUCCUAGGCAUAAAGAAGCCUUGGGCAUCUGAGCCUUGUGGCGUGGGGGCUCCCCACUGGACAGAAUGUAAUUGGAAGGAGGCAGACCCACUCCCUCAGCUUCCCUUAGGAGGACUCAUUAGGUAAGAUAAAACACACCUCUGCUUGUUCCCUUAUCCUUUCCAAACCAAAGAUAAAAGCAAAUUUAAAAUAUUAUUUUUAAAUGCCUUUAUUUUAUUUACUUACUUAUAUGUGGUGCAAGAGCAUCCCAGCAGAGAAAAUAGUAGUAUCUGUCACAGCGCACUGAGAAAUAGGCAAGAGGCAGGAGAGGAGCUCAGCAGAACAUCUAGGGGCACAUCCAGCAGGAACUCACAGGCCUCGCUCAGGAAAGUGGUGGAGAACAGGUGGUCGGAGCGGCCACAGAGGAGCCAUCUCCAGGGCCUGGGCAGCGGAUGUGCUGGCUGUCAUCAGAGGCGGUGGAGGCCAGCAGAGCUGCUUCUUCCCACCCACCCACAUGGAAUUCACAUCCCUGGAAAGAUACACAAAAGUCCUAUCAGCCAGACCUCUCUGUGAGGAUGGCAAGGCGACUUCCAUCCUGAAACACUGAAGCAAACCUUGCUGAGAGCAUCAUCCGACCCCGAUGGCAUCCUCAACCCCUGCUCUGUGGAGGCUCCUUCCUGCCUCCCUGCUGUCUAUAGACUUCACAUUGCAUUCCUCUCUGCUGUGCAAAGAUAUGCAUCUUCUCCGCAGCUCCUACUCCUCCAGAAAACAGAAUCAAAUCCCUCGUGGUAUUUGGAAAAUAAAGAAACCUUCUAUUAACAAGAUCUACUCUCCCCCUAGCACAAUGCAGGCACCUUUGUUACUUGAGGGUGUUUUCCUUUUCUUACUUCAAACAGUUCAUCCAAAGUGUUUUUUUUUAAAAAAAAAACUACUAUAAACUAUUAAUUUUUUAUGAAGACCCAGAAGAGAGGAAUUUGGAGACUCAAAACCUAAAGAAAUGAUAAGGAGAGGGAAGUGCUCAUUACUUGGAUUUGAUCACUACCCAUUGGACACAUGGCGUGAAUUAUCACACUGUACCCCACAAGUGAAUAUGGUUAUUAAGUGUUAAUUAAAAAGGAAAACAGAGUAACAAUUAAAAAGCAAUUUUGAUGGUUGAAAUGGUUUACAUCUUAUGGCACCUAUACGUAGCAAAUAUUUAUUUUAAUCUUUUCGUGAUUGUUUGCUUAUUGCAAUGUCUUCCAAUACACUUAAAUUUGCUAAGAAUAGGCAAAUACGCUCACCUCCCCCCCAUACCUUCAUCCUUAACACAGAACCUGUCAUUUAGCCAACAUUGAUGGAACAGAAC
rnacentral:lncRNA from 1 species